rnacentral:tRNA from 1 species
GCCCUGAUAGUAUAAACAUUACACU